rnacentral:rRNA from 1 species
CCCUUAGAUGUUCGGGGCCGCACGCGCGCUACACUGAAUGAAUCAGCGAGUGUAUGUCCUAGGCCGAAAGGUCCGGGUAACCCGUUGAACCUCAUUCGUGAUUGGGAUAGGGACUUGCAAUUGUUUCCCUUGAACGAGGAAUUCCCAGUAAGCGCAAGUCAUCGGCUUGCGUUGAUUACGUCCCUGCCCUUUGUACACACCGCCCGUCGCACCUACCGAUUGAAUGGUUCGGUGAAGAUCUCGGACUUCGAUAUUUAUUCUUUAUUGAGUUUAUAUUGUGGGAAGUUAUCUAAACCUCAUCAUUUAGAGGAAGGUGAAGUCGUAACA